AAUAUUACAGGACUUCAAGUUUUUGAUCCUAAUGCUAAGCCUAUGGAGAUAAAACCAAUGAGUAUGUCAUGAAAAUGAUGUGCUUUCCGUGUUUGAGAAGAAGGUCAUUGCAAAUAUCA
rnacentral:ncRNA from 2 species